GGUGACAGGUGGUGCAUGGUUGUCGUCAGCUCGUGUCGUGAGAUGUUGGGUUAAGUCCCGCAACGAGCGCAACCCUUGCCUUUAGUUGCCAGCAUUAAGUUGGGCACUCUAGAGGGACUGCCGAGGAUAACUCGGAGGAAGGUGGGGAUGACGUCAAAUCAUCAUGCCCCUUAUGCUUAGGGCUACACACGUGCUACAAUGGGUGGUACAGAGGGUUGCCAAGCCGUGAGGUGGAGCUAAUCCCUUAAAGCCAUUCUCAGUUCGGAUUGUAGGCUGAAACUCGCCUACAUGAAGCUGGAGUUACUAGUAAUCGCAGAUCAGAAUGCUGCGGUGAAUGCGUUCCCGGGUCUUGUACACACCGCCCGUCACACCAUGGGAGUUGGGGGCGCCCGAAGCCGGUUAGCUAACCUUUUAGGAAGCGGCCGUCGAAGGUGAAACCAAUGACUGGGGUGAAGUCGUAACAAGGUAGCCGUAUCGGAAGGUGCGGCUGGAUCACCUCCUUU
rnacentral:rRNA from 1 species